ACUCCUACGGGAGGCAGCAGUGGGGAAUAUUGCACAAUGGGCGCAAGCCUGAUGCAGCCAUGCCGCGUGUAUGAAGAAGGCCUUCGGGUUGUAAAGUACUUUCAGCAGUGAGGAAGGUGGAUAUGUUAAUAGCAUAUUCUAUUUGUACGUUAGCUGCAGAAGAAGCACCGGCUAACUCCGUGCCAGCAGCCGCGGUAAUACGGAGGGUGCGAGCGUUAAUCGGAAUUACUGGGCGUAAAGCGCAUGCAGGUGGUUUGUUAAGUCAGAUGUGAAAGCCCGGGGCUCAACCUCGGAAUUGCAUUUGAAACUGGCAAACUAGAGUACUGUAGAGGGGGUAGAAUUUCAGGUGUAGCGGUGAAAUGCGUAGAGAUCUGAAGGAAUACCGGUGGCGAAGGCGGCCCCCUGGACAGAUACUGACACUCAGAUGCGAAAGCGUGGGAGCAAACAGGAUUAGAUACCCCUGGUAGGUCAGUC
rnacentral:rRNA from 1 species